UACAGAGGGUGCGAGCGUUGUUCGGAAUUAUUGGGCGUAAAGGGCGCGUAGGCGGCGCCACAAGUCACUUGUGAAAACUCUGGGCUCAACCCAGAGCCUGCAGGCGAAACUGUGGUGCUGGAGUAUGGGAGAGGUGCGUGGAAUUCCCGGUGUAGCGGUGAAAUGCGUAGAUAGUCGGGAGGAACACCUGUGGCGAAAGCGGCGCACUGGACCAUAACUGACGCUGAGGCGCGAAAGCUAGGGGAGCAAACAGG
rnacentral:rRNA from 1 species